rnacentral:tRNA from 1 species
GGGCCAUUAGCUCAUCUGGUAGAGCGCUACAUUUGCAAUGUAGAGGUGAUCGGUUCGAGCCCGAUAUGGUCCA